UGCGGUCAAAAAAUUUAAAGGAUUUUAAACAUUGGCUUUACCAAUAGCUCCUAAGGAGCGAAUAAAUCACAGGUAUAUGAGUAAAACU
rnacentral:ncRNA from 1 species